ACGAACGCUGGCGGCGUGCUUAACACAUGCACGUCGAACGGAAAGGCCCUGCUUGCAGGGUACUCGAGUGGCGAACGGGUGAGUAACACGUGGGUGAUCUGCCCUGCACUUCGGGAUAAGCCUGGGAAACUGGGUCUAAUACCGGAUAGGAGCCAUUUUUAGUGUGAUGGUUGGAAAGUUUUUUCGGUGUAGGAUGAGCUCGCGGCCUAUCAGCUUGUUGGUGGGGUAAUGGCCUACCAAGGCGGCGACGGGUAGCCGGCCUGAGAGGGUGGACGGCCACAUUGGGACUGAGAUACGGCCCAGACUCCUACGGGAGGCAGCAGUGGGGAAGAUUGCACAAUGGGCGCAAGCCUGAUGCAGCGACGCCGCGUGGGGGAUGACGGCCUUCGGGUUGGAAACUCCUUUCGCUAGGGACGAAGCUUUUUGUGACGGUACCUAGAUAAGAAGCACCGGCUAACUACGUG
rnacentral:rRNA from 1 species